AGAGUUUGAUCCUGGCUCAGAAUGAACGCUGGCGGCAUGGAUUAGGCAUGCAAGUCGAACGUGAAGCCUUAGCUUGCUGAGGUGGAAAGUGGCGCAAGGGUGAGUAACACGUGAGCAAUCUGCCCCUGACUAUGGGAUAGCCCCGGGAAAACUGGGAUUAAUACCAUAUGUGGUUUUACCAACUCAUGUUGGUUCUACUAAAGAUUGAGUUCGGUCAGGGAUGAGCUCGCGGCCCAUUAGUUUGUUGGUGAGGUAACGGCUCACCAAGACUACGACGGGUAGGUGGUCUGAGAGGAUGGUCACCCACACUGGGACUGAGACACUGCCCAGACUCCUACGGGAGGCUGCAGUCGAGAAUCUUCCGCAAUGGGCGCAAGCCUGACGGAGCAAUGCCGCGUGAGGGAUGAAGGCCUUCGGGUUGUAAACCUCUGUCAGAGGGGACGAAAUUUGACGGUACCCUCAGAGGAAGCCACGGCUAACUACGUGCCAGCAGCCGCGGUAAUACGUAGGUGGCGAGCGUUAUUCGGAUUUACUGGGCGUAAAGGGUUCGUAGGGGGUCUGCCAAGUCUGAUGUGAAAUCCCGUGGCUCAACCACGGACGUGCAUUGGAUACUGUCGGACUAGAGUUCUUGAUGGGAAAGCGGAAUUCCAGGUGUAGCGGUGGAAUGCGUAGAUAUCUGGAAGAACACCGGUGGCGAAGGCGGCUUUCUGGCAAGAUACUGACCCUGAUGGACGAAAGCGUGGGUAACGAACAGGAUUAGAUACCCUGGUAGUCCACGCCGUAAACGUUGUGCACUAGAUGUGGGAGGUCCCUUUGGUCCCUUCCGUGUCCAAGCUAACGCGAUAAGUGCACCGCCUGGGGACUACGGCCGCAAGGCUAAAACUCAAAGGAAUUGACGGGGGCCCGCACAAGCGGUGGAGCAUGUGGCUUAAUUCGAGGCAACGCGAAGAACCUUACCCGGGUUUGACAUAUAUUUGCCCGCCUGUGAAAGCAGGCUUUUCUUCGGAACGAAUAUACAGGUGCUGCAUGGCUGUCGUCAGCUCGUGCCGUGAGGUGUUCGGUUAAGUCCGGCAACGAGCGCAACCCAUGUGAUUAGUUGCCAGCAGGUAAUGCUGGGCACUCUAGUCAGACUGCCCGUGUCAAGCGGGAGGAAGGCGUGGAUGACGUCAAGUCCGUAUGGCCCUUACAUCCGGGGCUGCACACGUGCUACAAUGGUCGGUACAGUGGGAAGCAAUACCGCGAGGUGGAGCCAAUCCUCAAAGCCGGCCCCAGUUCGGAUCGGAGUCUGCAACUUGACUCCGUGAAGUCGGAAUCGCUAGUAAAGGCGUAUCAGCAACGACGCCUUGAAUACGUUCCCGGGCCUUGUACACACCGCCCGUCACAUCAUGGAAGCUGAAUGCACCCGAAGUCGUUGGCCCAACUUUUCGGAGAGGGAAACGCCGAAGGUGUGCUCAGUAACUGGGAUGAAGUCGAAACAAGGUA
rnacentral:rRNA from 1 species